UUGUGUGUGUGUGUGUGUGUGUGUGUGUGUGUGUGUGUGUGUGUAUAUACAUAUAUACACACACACACACAAUAUGAUAGGGA
rnacentral:miRNA from 1 species